rnacentral:rRNA from 1 species
AUAUUGGUCAAUGGGCGCGAGCCUGAACCAGCCAAGUAGCGUGAAGGAUGACUGCCCUAUGGGUUGUAAACUUCUUUUAUAAAGGAAUAAAGUCGGGUAUGGAUACCCGUUUGCAUGUACUUUAUGAAUAAGGAUCGGCUAACUCCGUGCCUGCAGCCGCGGUAAUACGGAGGAUCCGAGCGUUAUCCGGAUUUAUUGGGUUUAAAGGGAGCGUAGAUGGAUGUUUAAGUCAGUUGUGAAAGUUUGCGGCUCAACCGUAAACUUGAAGUUGAUACUGGAUAUGUUGAGUGCAGUUGAGGCAGGCGGAAUUCGUGGUGUAGCGGUGAAAUGCUUAGAUAUCAAGAAGAACUCCGAUUGCGAUGGCAGCCUGCUAAGCUGCAACUGACAUUGAGGCUCGAAAGUGUGGGUAUCAAAC